rnacentral:rRNA from 1 species
UACGAAGGGGGCUAGCGUUGCUCGGAAUUACUGGGCGUAAAGCGUGCGCAGGCGGUUUUGUAAGCCAGAUGUGAAAUCCCCGGGCUCAACCUGGGAAUGGCAGUGGAUACUGGCAAGCUAGAGUGUGUCAGAGGAUGGUGGAAUUCCCGGUGUAGCGGUGAAAUGCGUAGAGAUCGGGAGGAACAUCAGUGGCGAAGGCGGCCAUCUGGGACAACACUGACGCUGAGGCACGAAAGCGUGGGGAGCAAACAGG